rnacentral:rRNA from 1 species
AUGAGUAGCCGCCGCCACCCCCGCUCGCCGGCGGCGCCGCCGCUGGAGGACGACAACCUCCUCUCCGAGAUCCUCCUCCGCCUCCCCCCGGCGCCGUCAUCCCUCCCCCGCGCCUCCCUCGUCUGCAAGCGCUGGCUCGGCCUCGUCUCCGACCCCGGCUUCUCCUGCCGCUUCCGCCUCCACCACCGCCGCAACCCUCCUCUGCUCGGUAUGUUCGACGAGCUCCGCUUCAUACCUACAAUGGAUCCCCCUAAUCGUGUCCCGGGUGACCGCUUCCCCUCGUGCAUCGACGAGGACGACGGCCUCGGCUCCUUCAUACCCUUGGGAUGCCGCCAUGGCCUCGUACUCAUCUUCCACAAAGGCGACAAGCACCGCCUACCUGUCCCCCCCUUGUUCGAUGCGGAAGUGACCCGGAUCAGCGGGGCGGUGUUUCGCGCUGCCGGAGACACCCAACACUUCCAGGUGGUCUUGGUAGUAGGCACUGAGGUAGACGAACAACAACACACACGGGCAAUCGCCCGUGUUUACUCGUCCGAGACUGGCGGAUGGGGUGAUAUAAUCUCAACACCCCUGCCAUCCAAAGCUUCUAUGGGUGAACUUCCUAACAAGAUGAACAUGUACUACUUUACUAUCAGUGUUCUAGUUGGGCAUUCCCUUCACUGGUUGCUUAGGCACAUAUCGGCAGGAACUCUCACAUUGGAUGGGAUCCUUAAGUUUGAUUUGGAGAGGCAGAUCCUAGAUCUGAUACCGGUGCCAGUGGAUAUUGCCAAUAAAAAUAUUGGUCAAUUCCAGGUUAUGCGGGCAGAUGGUGGUGGCCUUGGUAUUUUCUUUCUUUCAAAAUUCAGAGCUCAGUUAUGGAAGAGGCAGACUAAUUCUGAUGGUGUUGCUUCAUGGCUGCUGGGAAGAACUAUUGAACUGGAUAACCUACUUUCCAUGAAUUAA